rnacentral:rRNA from 1 species
UUACGGGAGGCAGCAGUAAGGAAUAUUGGUCAAUGGACGCAAGUCUGAACCAGCCAUGCCGCGUGAAGGAUGAAGGUCCUCUGGAUUGUAAACUUCUUUUAUAUGGGAAGAAAUCCAUCUUUUCUUGGGUGGUUGACGGUACCAUAGGAAUAAGCACCGGCUAACUCCGUGCCAGCAGCCGCGGUAAUACGGAGGGUGCAAGCGUUAUCCGGAUUCACUGGGUUUAAAGGGUGCGUAGGAGGGCAGGUAAGUCAGUGGUGAAAUCUCCAAGCUUAACUUGGAAACUGCCGUUGAUACUAUCUGUCUUGAAUACCGUGGAGGUGAGCGGAAUAUGUCAUGUAGCGGUGAAAUGCUUAGAUAUGACAUAGAACACCAAUUGCGAAGGCAGCUCGCUACACGAAUAUUGACUCUGAGGCACGAAAGCGUGGGGAUCAAACAGGCUUAGAUACCCUGGUAGU